rnacentral:rRNA from 1 species
CCUACGGUAGGCAGCAGUGAGGAAUAUUGGUCAAUGGUCGGGAGACUGAACCAGCCAAGCCGCGUGAGGGAUGAAGGUACAGAGUAUCGUAAACCUCUUUUGUCAGGGAACAAAGGCGGGGACGCGUCCCCGGAUGAGUGUACCUGAAGAAAAAGCAUCGGCUAACUCCGUGCCAGCAGCCGCGGUAAUACGUAGGGUGCGAGCGUUAAUCGGAAUUACUGGGCGUAAAGGGUGCGCAGGCGGUUGAGUAAGACAGAUGUGAAAUCCCCGAGCUUAACUCGGGAAUGGCAUAUGUGACUGCUCGACUAGAGUGUGUCAGAGGGAGGUGGAAUUCCACGUGUAGCAGUGAAAUGCGUAGAUAUGUGGAAGAACACCGAUGGCGAAGGCAGCCUCCUGGGACAUAACUGACGCUCAGGCACGAAAGCGUGGGGAGCAAACAGGAUUAGAUACCCUAGUAGUC